rnacentral:rRNA from 1 species
ACGCUGGCGGCAUGCCUUACACAUGCAAGUCGAACGGCAGCACGGGGGCAACCCUGGUGGCGAGUGGCGAACGGGUGAGUAAUAUAUCGGAACGUGCCAAGUAGUGGGGGAUAACUAGUCGAAAGAUUAGCUAAUACCGCAUACGCUCUACGGAGGAAAGUGGGGGAUCGCAAGACCUCAUGCUAUUUGAGCGGCCGAUAUCUGAUUAGCUAGUUGGUAGGGUAAAAGCCUACCAAGGCGACGAUCAGUAGCUGGUCUGAGAGGACGACCAGCCACACUGGGACUGAGACACGGCCCAGACUCCUACGGGAGGCAGCAGUGGGGAAUUUUGGACAAUGGGGGCAACCCUGAUCCAGCAAUGCCGCGUGAGUGAAGAAGGCCUUCGGGUUGUAAAGCUCUUUUGUCAGGGAAGAAACGCGCUGAGCUAAUACCUCGGCGUAAUGACGGUACCUGAAGAAUAAGCACCGGCUAACUACUUGCCA